rnacentral:tRNA from 1 species
GCCUCGCUAGCUCAACUGGCAGAGCAACUGACUCUUAAGCAGUAGGUCCUCGGUUCGAUCCCGAGACGGCCCACCA